UGCAACUGAUUCAGAUACUAUAUUUGAUUGGUGAGGCAUGUUAUAAAAAGAUAUUCCUUAAGGACUUGGUCCCCAACUCAUCUAAGAGCUUGUGAGGUUCUCUUCAUCGGGAAUACUUGAAGUUGGGAUUAGAAAAUCAAGGUGCUGCUCGACGAUAGCGAGGAACACAUCCAACUUGGUUCUCUUAUGGUUGUAGGUGGUUGCAGGUUGAUUCAAUAAGUUGAUUUGAGAGAUCCUAGAUGGCUUCAAUGGCCUCAUCUUCAUAUAAGUUUUAUUAUCUCAAAAAAUUCUAAUA
rnacentral:lncRNA from 1 species